UACAGAGGUCCCAAGCGUUGUUCGGAUUCACUGGGCGUAAAGGGUGCGUAGGCGGUCGGGUAAGUCUGAUGUGAAAUCUCACAGCUUAACUGUGAAACUGCAUUGGAUACUAUCCGGCUCGAGGAAUGGAGGGGAGACUGGAAUACUUGGUGUAGCAGUGAAAUGCGUAGAUAUCAAGUGGAACACCAGUGGCGAAGGCGGCUCACUGGACCGGUUCUGACGCUGAAGCGCGAAAGCGUGGGGAGCAAACGGG
rnacentral:rRNA from 1 species